UUCUGGGGGAAAUUUUUGCUGAGAAAAAGUGAGACUUUUCUUAAAAAUGAGAACUCUUAUAAUAAGUAAUUUUCUUUACCUUGAAAUUACAAUUUAAACAGAAGAUGCUCAAACACAAUUCCUUAAGUUACAUCUGAAAUACUUUAAGGGUUUCCAAAAUAGACAAUUAAAAUUGAAAUGAUUUUCUAAGAACUGCUUGUAUUUUAUAGAUUUUCUGCUGGGUUACAAUUUAAAGGAGUGAGAUAUUUCUUUGUAGAAAAUAAGACCAGGAGUAUGGUACCUACACAAACACACUCUUCUUAUCCUGAACAUCAGUUUUUAGUUUAAUGACUUAUUAAACAUCAA
rnacentral:lncRNA from 1 species